CUACGGGAAGCCCCGCCUCCUUUCUACCUCAUGUUUACUUCCUGAUUAAAGGAGACUCAGUUCGAGAGGAAGCACAAACAUAACUUGAGUAACUCGUGCUCCGUGAUGAUGAUGAUGAUGAUGAGACUUCUCCUCGGCUUCGUCCUCACAGCCGGUGUGGCCGUGGGGGUUCAGGUCCGCCAGUCUCCCUCGGAGCUCAUCGCGGAGGCCGGGGGUGAAGCGCGGCUCGUCUGCACGCACGCAGCAUCCGACUCCGGGGUGACGCUGUGGUACCAGCAGCCACGCCACGGCCACGCCCCGACACUCAUCGGAUACCAAUACGGGCGGUUCGGCAAAGACAACCUGGAGGAGCCGUUUCGAAAGCAUUUCGAGUUAGCCGGAGAUUUGAGUGGAGAAGGAUCAAAAGAUGCUUCGCUUUCCAUAACCAAUCUAAAGGCACCUGAACACACCGCCACAUACUUCUGUGCAGCAAUCAGGCACAGUGCAGCAAACAUGCAUCCGCUCUGGAAGGAAAACCUCUCUGGCCUCAAAGGAGAUCAAAGUGCAUGA